rnacentral:rRNA from 1 species
AUUGAACGCUGGCGGCAGGCCUAACACAUGCAAGUCGAGCGGAGCGGCGGACGGGGGAGUAAUGACUAGGAAUCUGCCUGGUAGUGGGGGAAAAAGUCCGGAAACGGGCGCUAAUACAGCAUAAUAUCAGAUGAGCCUAGGUCGCAUGAGCUAGUUGGAGGGGUAAAGGCCUACCAAGGCGACGAUGCGUCACUGGUCUGAGAGGAUGAUCAGUCACACUGGAACUGAGACACGGUCCAGACUCCUACGGGAGGCAGCAGUGGGGAAUAGUGGACAAUGGGCGAAAGCCUGAUCCAGCCAUGCCGCGUGUGUGAAGAAGGUCUUCGGAUUGUAAAGCACUUUAAGUUGGGAGGCGGUACCAACAGAAUAAGCACCGGCUAACUUCGUGCCAGCAGCCGCGGUAAUAC